AGAGUUUGAUCCUGGCUCAGGAUGAACGCUGGCGGCGUGCUUAACACAUGCAAGUCGAACGGUGAAGCCCAGCUUGCUGGGUGGAUCAGUGGCGAACGGGUGAGUAACACGUGAGCAACCUGCCCCUGACUCUGGGAUAAGCGCUGGAAACGGCGUCUAAUACUGGAUAUGUGACGUGACCGCAUGGUCUAUGUUUGGAAAGAUUUUUCGGUUGGGGAUGGGCUCGCGGCCUAUCAGCUUGUUGGUGAGGUAAUGGCUCACCAAGGCGUCGACGGGUAGCCGGCCUGAGAGGGUGACCGGCCACACUGGGACUGAGACACGGCCCAGACUCCUACGGGAGGCAGCAGUGGGGAAUAUUGCACAAUGGGCGGAAGCCUGAUGCAGCAACGCCGCGUGAGGGAUGACGGCCUUCGGGUUGUAAACCUCUUUUAGCAGGGAAGAAGCGAAAGUGACGGUACCUGCAGAAAAAGCGCCGGCUAACUACGUGCCAGCAGCCGCGGUAAUACGUAGGGCGCAAGCGUUAUCCGGAAUUAUUGGGCGUAAAGAGCUCGUAGGCGGUUUGUCGCGUCUGCUGUGAAAUCCCGAGGCUCAACCUCGGGCCUGCAGUGGGUACGGGCAGACUAGAGUGCGGUAGGGGAGAUUGGAAUUCCUGGUGUAGCGGUGGAAUGCGCAGAUAUCAGGAGGAACACCGAUGGCGAAGGCAGAUCUCUGGGCCGUAACUGACGCUGAGGAGCGAAAGGGUGGGGAGCAAACAGGCUUAGAUACCCUGGUAGUCCACCCCGUAAACGUUGGGAACUAGUUGUGGGGUCCAUUCCACGGAUUCCGUGACGCAGCUAACGCAUUAAGUUCCCCGCCUGGGGAGUACGGCCGCAAGGCUAAAACUCAAAGGAAUUGACGGGGACCCGCACAAGCGGCGGAGCAUGCGGAUUAAUUCGAUGCAACGCGAAGAACCUUACCAAGGCUUGACAUAUACGAGAACGGGCCAGAAAUGGUCAACUCUUUGGACACUCGUAAACAGGUGGUGCAUGGUUGUCGUCAGCUCGUGUCGUGAGAUGUUGGGUUAAGUCCCGCAACGAGCGCAACCCUCGUUCUAUGUUGCCAGCACGUAAUGGUGGGAACUCAUGGGAUACUGCCGGGGUCAACUCGGAGGAAGGUGGGGAUGACGUCAAAUCAUCAUGCCCCUUAUGUCUUGGGCUUCACGCAUGCUACAAUGGCCGGUACAAAGGGCUGCAAUACCGUGAGGUGGAGCGAAUCCCAAAAAGCCGGUCCCAGUUCGGAUUGAGGUCUGCAACUCGACCUCAUGAAGUCGGAGUCGCUAGUAAUCGCAGAUCAGCAACGCUGCGGUGAAUACGUUCCCGGGUCUUGUACACACCGCCCGUCAAGUCAUGAAAGUCGGUAACACCUGAAGCCGGUGGCCUAACCCUUGUGGAGGGAGCCGUCGAAGGUGGGAUCGGUAAUUAGGACUAAGUCGUAACAAGGUAACC
rnacentral:rRNA from 1 species